rnacentral:rRNA from 1 species
UACGUAGGGAGCAAGCGUUGUCCGGAAUCAUUGGGCGUAAAGCGUGCGUAGGCGGCCCGGUAAGUCCGUUGUAAAAGUCAAAGGCUCAACCUUUGAAAGCCGAUGGAUACUGCCGGGCUAGAGUCCGGAAGAGGCGAGUGGAAUUCCUGGUGUAGCGGUGGAAUGCGCAGAUAUCAGGAGGAACACCUAUAGCGAAGGCAGCUCGCUGGGACGGUACUGACGCUAAGGCACGAAAGCGUGGGGAGCAAACAGG